rnacentral:rRNA from 1 species
GAUGAACGCUGGCGGCGUGCCUAAUACAUGCAAGUCGAGCGAACAGACGAGGAGCUUGCUCCUCUGACGUUAGCGGCGGACGGGUGAGUAACACGUGGAUAACCUACCUAUAAGACUGGGAUAACUUCGGGAAACCGGAGCUAAUACCGGAUAAUAUAUUGAACCGCAUGGUUCAAUAGUGAAAGACGGUUUUGCUGUCACUUAUAGCUGGAACCGCGCCGCAUUAGCUAGUUGGUAAGGUAACGGCUUACCAAGGCAACGAUGCGUAGCCGACCUGAGAGGAUGAUCGGCCGCACUGGAACGAGGACGCGGUCCAGACUCCGACGGGAGGCAGCAGUAGGGAAUCUUCGGCAAUGGGCGAAAGCUUGACGGAGAAACGCCGCGUGAGUGAUGAAGGUCUUCGGAUCGUAAACUCUGUUAUUAGGGGAGAACAAAUGUGUAAGUAACUAUGCACGUCUUGACGGUACCUAAUCAGAAAGCCACGGCUAACUACGUG